CGGAGCGUAGCGCAGUCUGGUAGCGCGCCUGCUUUGGGAGCAGGAUGUCGGGGGUUCAAAUCCCUCCACUCCGACCA
rnacentral:tRNA from 1 species